ensembl:lncRNA
AUAAUGAGUGGCUUAAAGUCAUGAUUAAAAAAAAAAUCACAAAUGUUGUCUUCUUUCUAUUUGCCUUCUUGUUUUUCAGCUGUCAGGGUGCAUUCGCUUCACAUUUAUGAGCUUUUCUCAGCAAUGAUGAGGGCUCAAAACUUACUUUUUUUUUAAAAUGAAAGUUAAGAUUUUCAUGUGCAUUGAUUCCAGCAUCUGAGAUCCUGAGAAAAAUACUAAAAAUUGUGAAAGUCGCAAGACUGAGUCAAUCUCAUGAUUUUGGGGGGAACACACUCGUGAUUUUUGAACAUUUGGCAAUGCUGUGAGAAUGACUGUAUGAGAUGCAAGAUAAAAACAUCAUGCUCGGUGCAUUUCAAGAGCAUCAUGCCAAGAGAACUGCUUUCCCCUCCACGACUCUGCUCAGCAGCUCUGGAUUAUUUACCCUACUACACUGCAUGGUCCUGCCAGAUCAUCUAUCCCAGUGCUCCACACAGGCCACUGGUUUAUUUCUCUUUCAGCUGUCUCCCCUACUUCUCUUGCGCCCUCACCCCCAGAAAUGGUAGGGAGAUCUUUAUAGUUGUCACUAGUGCAUGUAAUGAUACACUUAGGUAAUACAUUUAGUCAUGAUUUAAAAUAUGUAUAACAUUGACCAGGCUAGCAUUUUGUCUGCUUCAUAAAAUUGCCUGCUAUAAAAUUCUAGACGAAGUGCGUGAAUGAUCUCAGAUUCAGCGCCACCACUGCAAGGUUAAUGUAAACACCAAUCAAUGUAUGGUUUGAGAUAGCUAGAGCUAAUUGCAUUCUCCUUCUUGACAUGUUUAAUGUCACCGUGACUGUAUAUGGCAUAUCACACCAUGGACUGUACCAGGCACUUGAAGUGGUCUGCUGAAUUCACAAAAUUCUUCUCUGGGCCAUCUGGAAAUGCAUAAGGGAGUGGAAUUUAUGGAAAAUGUGUUUGACCUAAAAUGGACAUAUGUGGCUUAACUGGAGCCUGGUGUAUUCUGCUAUUCCAUGGAAUCUGUCUCUUGCUGCAGAGAUUUGAUCAGAACAUUAGUUUUCAUUAAGUAAAAAAUUAUGCUCCUAGACUUUAUGGUUGUAAAGGAAACCAUGACCAGCAUGUAAUCAAAUGCAAUGUUAUCUUCCUGAGUCUGCAGAAAUCCUGAAAUGCUCCCUUUAUAUCAAUGGGUUAAAUUCUGAAAGCCAAAGAUAAUUUAAAUGUCAGCAAUUAACUGUGUCAUUGCUGAUUUUUUAGCAGAAACAUCCAGCUAAUGUGCUUAUUGCACAAAGCCGAAAUGCCUUCCAUGCCACUUCAGGGCAUGAAAGCUUCCAAUGUCCCUAAUAACUAGCCAUCAGAUGCAGUUAUACAUGGUUAUAUAAAUCUUUGGUAUGUCAAAAACUGAAAAUAUGGCAAUCGAAAUAACACAGGGUCUACUGGACCAAUUGUAUUAUUCAUUUUUAAUGCAGUAACAGCUUCCAUUCUUUAAAAUUUUAAAUGAAAGUGGUGCCAGAGACAUUCCUGCUGCAGAUUCCAGGGACCAUGGUACAAAAUGUAGGCCCAAAUUGCUGCAGAGUACAUGGUGCUUCAGCUUCACCACCACCUAUACAACCUACAAAU